CUCAGAGAAGGCCAGGGAGGCUGUGGAGAAGUUUGACAUGCUGCAGGCACACAAACACACACUCAGAGUGAAGCGCUAUGACAGAGAAACCACCACACACUG